GGCAAGGUAGCCAAGCGGUCUAAGGCGCCAGGCUCGGGACAACCUGAAUUUCAAAACUCUCCUGGUCUCGGUAAUGGGGCGUGGAUUCGAAUCCCCCUGCCGUCA